UUGACAUAUUCUGUAUGCUUUUAUAGCAUGAUAUCUCCAUUCAUAUUGUCCUUUCCUGUACUGAUUCUUCUCACUGCCUAGAUAUGAAGCAGUCAUUGAUGCAUAUUUGGACGGUCUUGAGUCUUCUGGGAUGAAUGACCUAUCUAAGCUUACAAGCGUGGCUUCCUUCUGUGUCAGUCGUGUUGACACUCUCAUCGACAAAAUGCUGGAAAAGAUUGGGACACCUGAAGCUCUUGAUCUCCGAGGAAAGGCAGCAAUAGCUCAAGCAACCCUAGCUUAUAAGCUGUACCAAAAGAAAUUUUCUGGUCCUCGUUGGAAGGCUUUAGUAAAGAAGGGUGCCAAAAAACAGAGGUUAUUGUGGGCCUCAACUAGUGUUAAGAAUCCUGUGUAUCCUGGCACCUCUAUGUAGAUCCACUAAUUGGACCUGACACGGUGAGUUACACCAAGUUACCCUUCCUUAGAAACCCCACAAAAACCACCUACCCAAACACACACACACACACACAAAGAUUAAUUUUGUAUACUCUUCAAUGGUGACAAGUCUGAACAUAUGUACUGAAGAUUUCAUCGAUGAUCUUCAUGUUGUGGUACCAUGACAGAUACUAAUAGAUUUACUAGAUUCUACUA